rnacentral:misc_RNA from 1 species
UUUCCGUAGGUGAACCUGCGGAAGGAUCAUUCAUAAUGUAAUGAUUUAUGCCUCUCUUUAAAUAUCCAUAUGCAUCUUUCUUUCAAUCAUAGAGAUCGUCAAACUUUGUGAGUAAUUAUUACAUCCAUUCAUUCAUCCUUAUAUUUAUCUCGAAAAUAAUAUUAAUAUUUAUUUCUUAUUACAACUUUUAAUAACGGUUCUCUUGUCUCUCGCAUCAACAAAGAACAUAGCAAAACCGAAAAGAAAACCUCUAAACUUCAAUCACGCGUAGUCAACUCC